UACCGGCGGCCCGAGUGGCGGCCCCUAUUAUUGGGCCUAAAGCGUCCGUAGCCCGGCUGGUAAGUCCUCCGGGAAAUCUGGUCGCUUAACGAUCAGACUUCCGGAGGAUACUGCUGGCCUAGGGACCGGGAGAGGCCGAGGGUAUUCCCGGGGUAGGGGUGAAAUCCUGUAAUCCCGGGAGGACCACCUGUGGCGAAGGCGCUCGGCUGGAACGGGUCCGACGGUGAGGGACGAAGGCCAGGGGAGCGAACCGG
rnacentral:rRNA from 1 species